UACAGAGGUCUCGAGCGUUAGGCGGAAUUACUGGGCGUAAAGCGUGCGCAGGCGGUUUGUUAAGACAGAUGUGAAAUCCCCGGGCUUAACCUGGGAACUGCAUUUGUGACUGGCAAGCUAGAGUAUGGCAGAGGGGGGUAGAAUUCCACGUGUAGCAGUGAAAUGCGUAGAGAUGUGGAGGAAUACCGAUGGCGAAGGCAGCCCCCUGGGCCAAUACUGACGCUCAUGCACGAAAGCGUGGGGAGCAAACAGG
rnacentral:rRNA from 1 species